CCUCUCAACGUGCGCUCCUCUUAACGUGCGUCUGCACAGCUGCUUGUGUGGCACAGCUGCUUGUGUGUUCUUCCGCCAAUGUGUGCAACUGCUUGUGUGUUCUUCCGCCAAUGUGUUCCUCUCGACGUCCAGCCACUUCUGUGCCUGCCUGCCUGUCUUGGGGUUUUUACAGGCACAGGAUAGGGGACGUGGCAGGCCAGGUGGUCUUGGAAAAUGCAAACUUGGGCAUGAAAACAGGAGCGCUUGUCCUCCCCUAUAUGCGUGUGCACAGGACCUGAGGUGAAGCCCUAGCCAGGGACCUGCCCUUCUCUACCCAGCGCUUUCCUUCUCUCAUCCCGAGUCAGUACUGUGAGUAUUAGAAAACAAAAAUUUGUUUUGUUUAAAACUCUAUAAAAUAACAAUAUUACAGUCUCUAUUAAAGCAGUGCAAAGUAUUCUCUUCUGUUUGUCAUUGGACACAGUCCAUUUUUAGCAGGCUGGAGGAUUUUAGUGCAUUGAUAUUUGUUCCUGCAGAAAGUAAUGGCAUAUCGCAAGAAGCUAUUACCCAGUAUGAACCGCCGUGCUCUGGAGUCCACAGUGGCUGCAGCCUGGAAAGUUUCUUGUAGCCACAGGACAUCUGGUGUAUCUCAUAGCAUACAGCUCCACCCAUCAGACUUCCGGUGGGGAGGGGUGUGGGUGCCCAGCAUGAGGAAAUGCUCACUAGUUCUUACGUUUCACUUAAAAAUGAUACGUGCCAUAUUAAGUCACAUUUCACUGGCUCCAGGAAGUCACUCUGCUGCCCCUGACUUCAAGAUAGUUGAGAAGUGAGAUCCAAUCCUGUGUCCAGAAGUGAACAUUUGAAAACAGUGUUGCUGCCGAUUUCAGGUAUUAUUAAUAUAGAGAUCACAAAUGAGGGAUCACCUUUGAUGAGGCUAGAAAGCAACUGAUGUUUAUACUCUCCCUCAUUCAAUUUUUGUUUUCAAUUUCAAGCAAUUUGCUCCAAUGUGUCUAAAGUUAAGGCUGGCUGUCUCCAGAGAUUCUCUAAAUAUUUUUCCUAGUUUUGAGUAAUUGUCUGAGAUUUAUUUAAAAACCUAUCUAAAUUCAAUAUCAGCUUCAGAACCAUACCACACUGAGAAUCACAUUACGAAUUAGAGAGAGAGAUCUGUGUUCACUCACUACCUUCUACAAUUUUUAAGUAGUUACGUGGCCUUUGGUAGUGUAGUUAAUGGAUCUGAGACCAGUUUUCCUGAACUCUAAAAUGAAUACAAUUUCAGUCAUUUGUGUUGAACUGAAGUUAAAAUUAAAAUAAAUAAGUAAAGCACUUAGUAUGUUUCAGUGCCCAAUAAAUGCUUCUUCACAUUCCUUACCUCCAUUUAUAAAUACAUAUAAUCCCUUUAGCUAUACCAAUCUUAGAUUGAAUAGAAUAUGAAUUGGCAUAGAUAGUAGUGUUUCUAUAACUACCUUGUCACAAAGUAAACUGUUUUGUUUAAGCUUUAUUUUCUAUCUUCUGUUGUCUCUUUGCCAAAUUAACAUAAAACAACUUCUUAUUUAUGUUACCUAAAGUAUAAUAUUAAAAUGGAUUAUACCUAGAAUUUGACAAAUGUUUCUUACUCAGCUUGAUAAGCAUCACUAAGUUUUUAUGAAAUUAUAUAGAUAUGUCCAUAUAUGUAUGUGUAAAUACAGUAUACCCUCAUAUGUGUAUAGAUAUGUUCCUUAAUAAUAGAAUGAAUAAUUAUUGAGAGGGCAACAACAUGUUGCUACCAAUAACUACAAAAAACUCUUUGAAAAUUCAGUAGGAAUUAGUCAUCGUAUCUGUCCCUAUGACCCAGUAAUGAUUAUUAAAGUGAUUAAAUACAUUUUAAAAGCCUUAUUUUAGGCCGGGUGCGGUGGCUCACGCCUGUAAUCCCAGCACUUUGGGAGGCUGAGGUGGGUGGAUCAUGAGGUCAGGAGUACAAGACCAGCCUGGCCAAGAUGGUGAAACCCUGUCUUUACUAAAAAUACAAAAAUUAGCUGGGCGUGGUGGUGGGUGCCUGUAGUCCCAGCUACUCAGGAGGCUGAGGCAGGGAAUUGCUUGAACCUAGGAGGCAGAGUUUGCAGUGAGCCGAGAUCACGCCACUGUACUCCAGCCUGGGCAACAGAGCGAGACUCUGUCUCAAAAAAAUAAAUACAUAAAUAAAUUUUUAAAAGCCUUAUUUUAAACGUGAAAAAUUUGUAUGUGCAUUAGGCAAAGGGAUAUAAUGCUCAGUAUUAAACUUCAUUUUGUGUUUUAUUCUUACAUUUCAGUUAUAGGCUGCUGAUUAUUUGCAUAGAGUAUUUCCAUUUGAUUAAGCCUCCAGAUUUUUCUUUCAUUUUAAAUCAAUGUUUUAUGUGUAAACACAUUAUCAAAGAGUUACGUUUUCCCAUAAAACUUUCAUCCUUGAAUCUAGGAUUUAUUUCACAUUUUUUCGAUAUUUCACACUUUUCAGACUCUUUCUGUAUUUUUGCCACUCUCUCAGUUUUAUAUACUAUGAACUUUCAAUUAAUUUACUAAAUAAAUAUAUACAUGCCUAAGCAUAUACAUAUUUCUAACCAAAGCUCAGAUUAUUUCUGUCAUUUGUCAAUACUUGAAUAUUUGAAGAGUGGUUUUCUUUUUUUUAUUAUUAUCAUACUUUAAGUUUUAGGGUACAUGUGCACAACGUGCAAGUUAGUUACAUAUGUAUACAUGUGUCAUGUUGGUGUGCUGCACCCAUCAACUCAUCAUUUAACAUUAGGUAAUCUCCUAAUGCUAUCCCUCCCCUCUCCGCCCACCCCACAACAGGCCCCCAUGUGUGUUGUUCCCCUUCCUGUUCCAUGUGUUCUCAUUGUUCAAUUCCCACCUAUGAGUGAGAACAUGUCCUGUUCGGUUUUUUGUCCUUAAGCGAUAGUUUGCUGAGAAUGAUGGUUUCCAGCUUCAUCCAUGUCCCUACAAAGGACAUGAACUCAUCAUUUUUUAUGGCUGCAUAGUAUUCCAUGGUGUAUAUGUGCCACAUUUUCUUAAUCCAGUCUAUCAUUGAUGGGCAUUUGGGUUGGUUCCAAGUCUUUGCUAUUGUGAAUAGUGCCACAAUAAACAUACGUGUGCAUGUGUCUUUAUAGCAGCAUGAUUUAUAAUCCUUUGGGUAUAUACCCAGUAAUGGGAUGGCUGGGUCAAAUGGUAUUUCUAGUUCAAGAUCCCUGAGGAAUCACCACACCAACUUCCACAAUGGUUGAACUAGUUUACAGUCCCACCAACAGUGUAAAAGUGUUCCUAUUUCUCCACAUCCUCUCCAGCACCUGUUGUUUCUUGACUUUUUAAUGAUUGCCAUUCUAACUGGUGUGAGAUGGUAUCUCAUUGUGAUUUUGAUUUGCAUUUCUCUGAUGGCCAGUGAUGAUGAGCAUUUUUUCAUGUGUCUUUUGGCUGCAUAAAUGUCUUCUUUUGAGAAGUGUCUGUUCAUAUCCUUUUGCCCACUUUUUGAUGGGGCUGUUUGUUUUUUUCUUGUAGAUUUGUUUGAGUUCAUUGUAGAUUCUGGAUAUUAGCCCUUUGUCAGAUGAGUAGAUUGCAAAAAUUUUCUCCCAUUCUGUAGGUUGCCUGUUCACUAAAGAGUGGUUUUCAAGUGAUAAUCAAAUACCUGCAUAUUUGAUUAUAUUACAUUGCUUCUGUUUUUCAGGAGAACCCUGCCUAAUACAGCACAUUAUACAAUUACAAUAGAAAUUAAGACAACAUAAAAUGUUAUAAAAUAAAAAUAUUUUAGACAUUGAUCACUGUAACUCUUUUGUUACUUAGCCAUAUUGUUAUUUAGGUGGAAAUGAAAUUCUUGAAUAAUAUUUUAACUGCUAUUAGUAUUCAUAGGGUAACCAAAUCUGGUCCAACUGUAUAUGUUCCCUAGCUCAUUUCAUUCAUUUAUAGAUGAUGUGGUUCACAUAGAGAAAGUUACUUCCUCAAGAUUACAGAUUUGAAAGCAAUAUCAACUUACUUUAUUUAAAUGAAUCUCUCCAUUCAUAUAAACCAGGGACCAAGAAAGUCAAAAUUAUCUUUAUAUGAAUUAUAUUCCAGGCAUAAUUAUAAGUCAUAUUUUAAAAGUAGUAUAAAAAAAACCACAUAUUAUUCAGGCCAGGCAUGAUGGCUCACGUCUGUAAUCCCAGUACUUUUGGAGGCUGAGGUGGGUGGAUUACCUGAGGUCAGGAGUUCGAGACCAGCCUGGCCAACAUGGUGAAACCCCGUCUCUACUAAAAAUACAAAAAUUAGCCGGGUGUGGUGGCACACGCCUAUAAUCCCAGCUACUUGGGAGCCUGAGGCAGGACAAUUGCUUGAGCCCUGGAGGCGGAGGUUGCAGUGAGCCAAGAUGGUGCCACUGCACUCCAGCCUCAAAACAAACAAACAAACAAACAAAAAACAUAUUCAAUUGUAAUCUGGAAAUAUAAAAUUUAUUAGAAGGGAUUAAAUUGAUAUUUUACAGAGAGUCUUAUAAGAAAUAGUCUCUGAGAAUUAGUGUUAAAUGUUCUAUGUUAGAAGAAUACCAGUGGAAUAAUGAGGUGUGAAUAAUUGAUAACUUACACAGCUUGGUAAAAGUCUCUGCAUUUCUGUCUCAGAAAGACUCAGUAUUGAUCUUGAGAAAUAAUAUUUGCCCAAAAAUUAACACAUAGUGUGUCACAAACUAUAAGAAAAAAUUAUACAUAUUCCAUAGUUCAAAUAUUUCCUUCAAAACACAAAAGCAAUUGUGUAAUCUUCCAAAGAAUUUUCAGAGAAGAUAUAUUGUCAAAAUGAAAAGGAUGGGUUAAAAAAUUUACUCAUUCUGUCCGGGCACGAUGGCUCACACCUGUAAUCCCAGCACUUUGGGGGGCCGAGGUGGGCAGAUCAUGAGGUCAAGAGAUCAAGACUAUCCUGGCCAACAGUAACCCGUCUGUACUAAAAAUAUAAAAAUUAGCUGGUCGUGGUGGUGCGCACCUGUAGUGCCAGCCACUUGGGAGGCUGAGGCAGGAGAAUCGCUUGAACCUGGGAGGCAGAGGUUGCAGUGAGCCAAGAUCGUGCCACUGCACUCCAGCCUGGCGACAGAGCUGGACUCAGUCUCAAAAAAAAAAAAAAAAAAAAAAAAAGAAAGAAAAAAUUUACUCAUCCUGUUUUUGUGAGUAUAUCCUCUUUUAAAUACAUCUUAAUACAGACGGAGCUAUUAUACAGACACUCAGAGGAAAUAGAGCCAUAAAAUCUAUGAAUCUUGAAAUCAAGGCAUAAAGCCACAAGAAAAAUCAUUGUAUUUUAAAUCACAGAUGUUUCACAUCUUUGAAAAAUAAAUUUAAAUUAUGAACUUUAAUGAAGAGUAACCAUAUAUGAACUAUUCAUUAUAUAAAACAUGAUUCAUAAAAACCAGUAUAAUCUUGAAAUAUAGACAUUAAAUCCCAUGAGUAUAAUAUAAGAUACUUUGUUUUCCAGAAAGCAUAAAUUAGAGGCACAAUUUAGCAGCUUCCUGAGACAUUAAUAGGAGUACCAAGAUUUUAUGAUCAGGAGCACAUUAUGAAAAAUGAUGUCAAAAAAAUAAUAUUUGAAAACUGUGAGGGAAUCCACAGUAAAUUUGAAUAUUUAAUGUGAGAAAAAAAUACCUGCAAUGUUUUAAUGUAACUUCCACAUUGUAGAGAAAUUUCAUAGUAGUGUUGUACAAAACAAACCAGAAAAUUGUACUGGAUUUCUAUUUUCUAACCUCUUUCUUGAAAACCAUAAAAACAGGUGGCAUUUAAGAAGAUAUAUCCACCAUUGUGCUAUUAAUUUUACAGUCAAUCAAGUGACAGGAUUACCAAAAAGACUAUUUUUAUAAUGACUCUUUAGUCCAGAGCUACCCAUAGAACUUUCAGGAAUGAAAUUUCCAAAUGCUGCUUAGAUUGUCUAUGUAAUACCAUGACUGAUAUUCUUAAACAAAUGAUCUACAGUCUUACUCUUCAGAUUGAUGACUUCUAUAUUUGGAAUUGUUCAGCUUUAAAUAUGUUUAAUAAAUCCCACAUGAAUUACAAUUUGCCGGCUUCUAAUAAGUUUCAAUAUUUUCAUUCUAAUGCUGUCAUGAAAUCAAUAUGUUAACUAUCACUUUAAUGAGUCUAGGAAGUAAUGAUCUUCCUAUUUAGGAAUAAGGAGGAGAAUAUUCCCUCCUAUUUUUACUUUUUUCUAACUUACAUUUUUAAUAACUUAAAUUUUUAAUAUUUCUUUUAUGUUUUCAGAAAGACAAAAAAUCACCCUAAAAAUAUAGAGUACAAAUUUAUGACUUCUAUUUCAAUAUUCCAUAUCCUCUACUUUCCUUCACUUCUCUCAGGUAAACACUGUUAAAUGUUUUUAAUAUAACUUCCUAACUUUUCUCUAACAUUUUAUAUUCACAUAGUUCCUUCUUAACAGAAAUCAUAGUAGAUAAGUCAUAGUAGAUAUAUUGUUAUGUAAUUAUUUUCUCACAAAAUAAUAUCUUUUUUUUUUUGAGACAGAAUCUCGCUCUGUUGCCCAGGCUGGAGUGCAGUAGCACAAUUUCGGCUCACUGCCACCUCCGCUUCCCGGGUUCAAGCAAUUCUCCUGUCUCAGCCUCCCGAGUAGCUGGGACUACAGUCGUAUGCGACAACGCAUGGCUAAUUUUUGUAUUUUUAGUAGAGACGGGGUUUCACCAUGUUGGUCAGGCUGAUCUCGAACUCCUGACCUCAGGUGGUUCACCCACCUUGGCCUCCCAAAGUGCUGGGAUUACAGGCGUGAGCCACCACACCUGGAAACGACAGAAUAAUUCCACGCAAUUCCUCAAAGGUCUACCUCAUAUCUCAUUCUAUGUAUAAACCUUUCCCUUCCUCUUUUUGCCUUAGUAAAAACAGCAUUGCAAAGGAUAUUUUUAAGUAUAUAUUUGGAUAUAAAUGCAUAUAUUCCUGAGCUCUUAAUUCCUGGGAGUAAAUUGCUGGGUCAAAUAAUAUGCAUAUUUGAUACUUUGAUAGCAUAUGCUAAUUUACAUUCUCAAAAGUUCAUGUAAUUUAACAUUUCACAACACUGUUUUAGAAUACCCAUUUCUGCCCAAUUUGCACAUUUAUUUUUAUAAAAUUUGCCAAAGCAUUAAACAAAUGGGGUAACAUUAACAUAUUCAAAUAUUACAGAAAAAUGUAAUAUUUUCUUUAUAUUUAGCCAGGUUUUUUGUACAGUUAGUUUUUUCUGUUGGUUUGUAGGAGCUUUGUUGUAUAUAUUAUUUUAAAUACUUUGUACAUAUGUGUUGUGUAUAUUAUUUUAAAUAUUUUGUACAUAUGUAUUGUAACAGGUUUCUAUUGUAAUAAAAAAAAAAGUAAACAAGCCCUGAAUUUCUGUGGCUUACAAAAACAGCCAUUACCUUUUCUUGAUUAUAGGUCUGCAAGUUGCCUGGGUUUGAUAAAUUUUUCUUGGUCGUAAAUGAGCUGGACUCUAGUCUGGAGAUCGGAUUUAGGAAUCAUCCUCAUGCCUCAGUCUAGAAACCAUUAGCUACCUGGGAAAGUUUUCUCCUGCUAGUGACAAAAGUGCAAGAGAAGUGUGAUCACAUAAGUGCAUUUAAAACCCCUACUUGAAAAGCAUAUGCAUUAAAUCUUUUCAAACACUACUUAUCAAAGCAGGUCGCCUGGCCAUGCCCCAAGUCAUGACAAGAGUCAUAAAAAUGGGAAAAUGAGUAUUUGUGAAUAAGUCAGCCUAUUCACCACUAUAAUGUAUUUUCUCUCAAUCAACUGCUUAUGGUUUUAUUUUUGUGCCAGUUUGAAAACUAAGAGUUCUAAUAAUGUUUCUUUAGCAACUCUCAGUUUUGUGUCUUACUUAAGUCACUAUGUUAAUAAUAAUAUUAUCCAAUAUUGUCUUUUAGUUCUUUUACAGCAUUGACUUUUACAUUCAGACCCUUUAAUCAAAUUUUCAAUUCAUAUAUACUUUUUAAACAAAAACAUUUUUGUGAAUUCUAACUUAUUUUUCCAAUUUUCACAACAUAAUUUCUCUUAACUCAUUUCUACGCAAGUUUGAAAUGCCAUCUUCAUAUUCUAAAUUACUAUAUAAAAAUUAGUUUCUUUUUUGAUUCUUUCUUUUUUUUUCUGUUUAUCAACUGCUGUAUUCUUCUACCAAAACCACUUGGUUCUCAUAGUUAAAGCUUUAUAAAAUGUUUGCUAUAUAGUUAAGUCCUAUUUCAUAAUUUUUAAAAUUUUUUCACCAAUUUUUCUUGUUUCUUUUUCUGUAUAUUUUCUCUUGUGGGUCAUCUGGAAAAUAUGCUUUCCUUAAUCAAUUUAAAAAUCCUAAAAGUAUUUUUAAAUUUCAGAUGGUUCUCCCUCUCUUUCCAUAUAUAUAUAUAUGUAUAUAUGUUCAAUAUAUAUUUAUUCAAUCUGAAUAUAUAUAGAAUAUAUAUGAAUAUAUAUUUAAUCAGAAUUAAAUAAAUAUAUAUUCAUGUAUAUUCUAUAUGUCGCUAUAUAUAUUCUAUGUCUAUAUAUAUUCUAUAUGUCUAUAUAAAACCAUCUGAAAUUGCUAAUAUUUCUCCUUUUAUAAGACAUAUCAAAAUAGCAAUUUAUUAGUUCAACAUAAUAUAUAAAAUUCACUUAGAGGAAAUUACACUAUUUAGUAUUAACUCUUUCAUCCAAGAUUAUGAAUAUCUUGAAUCCUAUAUUUUUGUUUAGUUGGUUUAGUUUCCAUCUAGGCCUUUCACUAUCUUUUCUUAGAUUAUUUUAUGCAAUCUGAAUAUAUAUGAAUGUAUAUAAGUAUGUAUUCAUAUAUAUUUAAUUAGAGUUGAAUAUAUAUUCGUAUAUAUUCUAUAUAUAUGAGUAUAUCUGUUAAUAUUAAUUAAGUCUUGGAAGUUUAAUUUGUUAAUGAAUGAGAAUUGCUUUUCUUUUUAUGUUCUGAAAUGGAAAGUUAUUCAUUGCUCAUGUUUAUAGCAAAGCUGUUGGAUUCUGUGAGUUCAAGUUGAAAGGAAGUUAUGCAUAGUGAUUAAUCUCAAGUGUUCUGAAACCAGAAUACUUUGGUUCAUAUCCCAAUUUCACCACUUAUUUGGUGAAUGACAUUAAACAAGAAGUUAGUGCCCUUGGCUUCAGUUUCCCUCUCUACAAAAAACCAACAAAAAAAUUGACUAUAACACCUUAUGCCAUGAAGCAUGGUUGUGAAGAUUUAGUAUAUUAGUACAAGUUCACUGGCUCACACCAGUUAGAAUGGCCAUUAUUAAAAAGUCAAAAAAUAACAGACGCUGGCGAGGUUGUGGUGAAAAGAGAACACUUUUACACUGCUGGUGGAAGUGUAAAUUACUUCAGCCAUUAUAAAAAGCAAUAUGGCAGUUUCUCAGAUAAGUUAAAAGAGAAUUAACAUUUGACUCAGCAAUCUCAUUAUUGGGUAUAUACCCAAAGGAAUAUAAUUCAUUCUAUGAUAAAGACAUGCACGUGUAUAUUGCAGCACUAUGCACAAUAGGAAGGACAUGGGACCAACCUAAGUGUGUAUUAAUGGUAGAGUGGAUAAAGAAAAUGUGGUACCUACAUAGCAUGGAAUACUACACAGCCAUAAAAAGAAAAAGAUUGUGUUCUUUGCAGCAUCAUGGAUGGAGAUGGAGCCCAUUAUUUGAAGCAAACUAACACAGGAACAGCAAAGCAAAUACCAUAUAUUCUCACUUAUAAAUGGCAGCUGAACAACGAGGACACAUGGACACAAACAGCAGAACAACAGACACCAGGAGCUACUUGAAGGUGAAUGGUGGGAGGAGGGAGAAGAUCAAAAAAUAUAUAUACCUAUCAGGUACUAUGCUUAUUACCUGAUUGAAUAAAUAAUGUGUACACCAUCCCCACAGUACACAGUUUACUUAUAUAACAAUCCUGCACAUGUACCCCUAAACCUAAAAUGAAAUUUAAAAGUAAAAAAAAUUACAUGUACAUGUAUAGCAUUUAGGAAUCAUGUACUUCAUAAAUGCUCACUACAACCUUGCGUUUGUCUAUUACACAAAAGUUUUAUAUUAACCCUAAUUGAAACCCUAAAUUGAAUUGGCAAUAUAAACUGAGCAAAAUGGGAGAAAUUCAGAGAAAAAAAGCCAGAUAAAUAGGUGAGGUUUAACUGACACCAUUAAUCAGGUAAAUGGGAAAACUAAUGUAUUUGAGUAUUUCCUUUUAAAAUAAUUUUUGUUAUUAUAACUAUGUGGUUUAAUUUUUGUUUUUAUUUAUUUUAAUUUUAUUAUUAUUGUACUUUAAGUUUUAGGGUACAUGUGCACAAUGUGAAGGUUUGUAACAUAUGUAUACAUGUGCCAUGUUGGUGUGCUGCACCCAUUAACUCGUCAUUUAACAUUAGCUAUAUCUCCUAAUGCUAUCCCUCCCCCCUCGCCCCACCCCACAACAGGCCCCCAUGUGUGAUGUUCCCCUUCCUGUGUCCAUGUGUUCUCAUUGUUCAAUUCCCACCUAUGAGUGAGAACAUGUCGUGUUUGGUUUUUUGUCCUUGCGAUAGUUUGCUGAGAAUGAUAGUUUCCAGCUUCAUCCAUGUCCCUACAAAGGACAUGAACUCAUCAUUUUUUAUGGCUGCAUAGUAUUCAAUGGUGUAUGUGUGCCACAUUUUCUUAAUCCAGUCUAUCAUUGAUGGACAUUUGGGUUGGGUCCAAGUCUUUGCUAUUGUGAAUAGUGCCACAAUAAACAUACGUGUGCAUGUGUCUUUAUAGCAGCAUGAUUUAUAAUCCUUUGGGUAUAUACCCAAUAAUGGGAUGGCUGGGUCAAAUGGUAUUUCUAGUUCUAGAUCCCUGAAGAAUUGCCACACUGCCUUCCACAAUGGUUGAACUAGUUUAUAGUCCCACCAACAGUGUAAAAGUGUUCCUAUUUUUCCACAUCCUCUCCAGCACCUGUUGUUUCCUGACUUUUUAAAGAUCGCCAUUCUAACUGGUGUGAGAUGGUAUCUCAUUGUGAUUUUGAUUUGCAUUUCUCUGAUGGCCAGUGAUGAUGAGCAUUUUUUCAUGUGUUUUUUGGCUGCAUAAAUGUCUUCUUUUGAGAAGUGUCUGUUCAUAUCCUUUGCCCACUUUUUGAUGGGGCUGUUUGUUUUUUUCUUGUAAAUUUGUUUGAGUUCGUUAUAGAUUCUGGAUAUUAGCCCUUUGUCAGAUAUUUAAAGUAAGUGCAACGGUCAUUACAGUCUAUUUUGUAUUAUCACAAUAGAAACAUUGUAUGUACCCUUUGGCUAUCACCCCCAUAUACUCCACUCCCCAAAGCCUAAGCAACCUCCACUCUGCUUUCUCCCCCUAUAUAUUUGUCUAUUCUGGACAUUGCUUAUAAGUAAGCUAAUACGUGUUUCUUUGUAAUUGACUUAUUUUGAUUGGCAUAAUGUUUUCAAGUUCCAUCCAUGUUAUAGAGUAUAUCAGUACUUAAAUUCUUUUUUAUGGUUGGAUAAGUUUCCAUUUUAUGGAUAUAUCCCAUUACAUUUCUUCAUUUAUCAAUUGAUGAGUUUUGGGGUUGUUUUUACAUUUUGGUUAUUAUAAAUAAUACUGCUAGAAACAUCCAUGAACACACAUUUUUGUUUGGACAUAUGUUUUUCAUUUGUAUUUGGUGCAUCCUCAAAAACAUAUAGUAACUCUAUGUUUAAUCAUUUGAGGAACUGCCACACUGGCUACACUGUUUUUCAUUUCCACCAACGGUGUACAUGUGUUCUGAUUUCUUCAUAUACUCUCCUUGUUACAGUUGUCAUUUUUAAUUCCAGUCAUCUUAGCGGGUGUGAGGCAGUAUCUCACUAUGGUUAUAGUCACAUUUUCCUGUGGGUUAAUGAUACUGAAUAUUUUUUCCCAUACUUAUUGGCUCUUUGUAUAUCUCCCUGGAAGAAACGCGUAUUUAGAUCCAUUGCCAUUUUUUAAUUGGGUUAUUUGUCUUUUAUUUGUUGAGUUUCUGGAUACAAAUCUUUUAUCAUAUAUACGAUUUGAAAAUAUGUUCUUUCAUUUGGUAGUUUGUCUUUUCAUUUUCUUCAUAGUGUCCUUUGAAACAAAGUUUUACAAAAGCAGCAAUCUUUUUCCUUGGUGAUUAUUCUAUUUAUUUACAAAUAACUCAUUUCAUGUAAAAUGCUGAAUAGAUUGUAGGGCUGCCAUAACAACGUGUUACUAAUUAGGAGGUUUAAACAACAGCUAUUUAUUAUUUCACAGUUCUAGAGGCCAGAAGUCAAAAAUCAAGGUGUUGGUAGCACUGAUUUAUUUUACGGGCUGUGAGGAAGAAUCUGUUCCAUGCCUCUCGCCUAGUUUUUGAUGGUUUUCUGGCAAUAUUUGGCAUUCCUUGUCUUGUAGAAGCAUUACCCUAAUCUUUGACUUCAUCUUUACAUUCUCCCUGUGUCUGUGUCUGUGUCCAAGUUUCAUCUUUUUAUGAGAACAUCAGUCAUAUUGAAUUAAGGGCCCACCCUCUUCCAGUAUGACCUCAUCUAAACUUAACUAAUUAAACCUUCAACAACUUGAUUCCAAGUAAGGACACAUUCUGAGGUACUUGGGGUUAGGACUUCAACAUAUGAAUUUUUGAGGGAACACAAUUCAACUCGUAACAGAUGCAUUAUCAAAUAAAUGAAUAUUUAUUUCUUAGACAAUAAUAAAAUUUUGAAAUAUAUAUGACUCUUGACUAUUUGCAAAGUUUUGUUCCCCCCAACUUGUUCUCACUUGUAUUUUUUCUCAUAACCAUCUAGUUCAACAAGAAAUACUUAUGCUUUAUCGGUUUGUUUGUUUUUUGAGAUGGAGUUUCACUCUUGUUGCCCAGGCUGGAGUGCAAUGGCAUGAUCUUGGCUCACUGCAACCUCUGCCUCCCAAGCUCAAGUGAUUCUCCUGUUUCAGCCUCCUGAGUAGCUGGGAUUACAGGCCCCGCCACCAGGACCAGAUAAUUUUUGUACUUUUAGUAGAGACGGGGUUUCACCAUGUUGACCAGGCUCGUCUCGAACUCCUGACCUCAGGUGAUUCGGCUGCCUCAGCCUUCCAAAGUGCUGGGAUUACAAGCGUGAGCCACUGCGCCCAGCCGCUUUAUAUCUAUUUUAUAAAUGAAGCAAGCGGCAUCCAGGGAGAUUAUCAGUUUAUCAAAUGCCUCAGUUUAUUAAGUUACUGUGAACAAAAACAUAGAAGUAUUAUCUUCUGGUGUAUGUUCUCUCUGUGGCUUUUUACAUCCCUUAGGGUAAUGCUUGUAUCUAUUUAAAGGAAAGGUGACAUCAAUAAAAGUCACAAUGCUUAUAGGCUUCUAUGAUUAUGUGAGAAAUAAAUGCUCUAGAAAAAUGGCAUAACAUUUUAUCCUCCAAGGCCAAUGGCUACAUUGUGGGAUUUCUACUCAGCUAGAUAAUCUAGGAAACACCAAAUAAAUAAAGCAAAGUAUUCCUGCUUUCAACAUGCUUAUAGCCUGUUAGGGAAGAUAGAAAUAAUAUGGAGUAUGGUGUAUAAGAAAAGAAGAUUAGAGAAACUAUGAUGAAUUGCUCAAUUGUGUGAUUUAGACAGCAAACAGGGAAUUAAAUUUGAAUGAUUGGAGUAUUCUUGGAUGAGUUUAUUAUGAAAAUUGAACUUUAAUUAGGGACCGGCGUGAGAGUAUGGAGGCUGAAGCCAUAGAAAGGAGAAAUUAUUCCAGCUGAGGCCAAAACAUGAACCAAGGUAAUAAACUGGAGUUGUAAAUCCGCUCUCUGAGGGAAAGAUACUGUUCAAAUUAUAGUGGCUGGUGAAAAUAAAUAAUUGUAUACUUAAUAGUAAUUUUAAAAAUAAAACAUAAUUUUUCUCAUUUUAUUAGUUAUUAUAAAUUUGUUGAUUAUUAAAUUAUUUUACUAAUAGUUAUAAAAUUUUAUGUUGAUUCCAAAGCAUUCAUCCAGCAAUAAGAAAACAACUCUUGAAAAUAAUAUCAAGUGUUCAAUUCACAGUCUUAUGGAAAAUUUGAGCAUAUUUAAAAAGGAGUGGAUUAUACUCCUUAGCACAUUAAGUGCUUCAUUAGUAACAAGUAAGCAUGAAGUGUGAGCCAGGAAAGAGCAAAAUUCCCCUCCAAAGAAAGUCAGUCCUAAUCUGGUGGGUCAGUAGUUUAACCUGAAAGCCUACUCAAUCCAUCUCUAUUUUUCUGGAACCUACCAACAAGGAUGCCAAAUGUGAUCCACGCACUUGUCCACUAGAAACUGAAUGGGAGCCAUCAACUCAUUUCACACAGGUCAGCAAACAGCAAUCAGAGGCUAAUGGCUUUCUGUCACCACUAACCCAGGCUAGGUGCAAAGGCCGACCUGGAGGUUAGAGGUUCUGCAUCCAAUUACCUAUCGUAGGAGCUAUCUGGUCCCCUCUAAAAAGUAAAUUGCUCAGUGCAAAAUUGAAAGUACUACCUGAUUUGCUAUUUUUUCAGUGCUGCUUUUGAAAUGCCUAAGUUUCUAAAGUGGCAGAUCUGAUGGGCUGGCCUCUUUGCUCAGUAUUCAGGAGGUUUGAGGGAGCAGUGAUGAGAACUAAUAAAAAGUAAAGUCAAGUUAUGUUAUGCCAUGAAGUGAAUCAAGAUUCAAUACGUGACAGAGACUCUUGGACUAAAACACUCAUACAAUUGUUGCUAAAUGCAGGAUAUGUUAUAACCCACACUUCAUACAUCAAAGUGUUUUUAAGGAAAGAUUUUCAUUCACAAAGUAACCAUUAAAUGAUAAUAGUGAUUAGAGAGAUGGAUUUGUUGAAAAUAUUUACUUUUCUGGCUAUAUCACUAGGAAAUUGAAAUUGUAUGAAAAGUAAUCAACUUAAAACAACAUUUAAUAUUAGCAUACUGUGACUCUAGAAAUGUUUAUUUCGAAAACAUUUUACCCCAAAAACUGUUAAGUGAGCAAGUUCCAUAUGUUUUGUCUUAGAUUUUAGGAUAGCUUUACCUUAAGGUUAAUAGAAAAGCUGUCGAAAGUGCAAAAUCAGGAAUCAUGGAAGAAUAUACUCUGAAAUUAAUUAAGAUUAAACUUCAAUCAUCCUCAAAAUCACAGGUUAUAUACAAAGCCCUAGUAAUUUUUAUUCAUUUAUUUCAUCAUUUUUCUUCAAGAAAAUCCAAGAAAUUUGGAUGCAUCUCUGUCACCAGACUAAUGAUAUUAUUAAUCUAUAAAAACCUAUAAACACUGUGUCUAUCUGUGCUCAUCACUCUAACCAAAAAUUACCAGAAACAAUGUUCAGACAGAUUCCUCUCUGUGGGCCUCUGGGGGGAGACACAGCCCAAAAAGUGGUUGCAGCAUUUUCUCAUGCUGAUUUAUAGCAUAACUACACAAAGACACACGCGCACAAAAAAGUAAACACAAAUGCAAACGUAAAGGUGAAGUAAAAACAGAUACUAAGAUCUUAAAAUUGCUCAAUAUUUCUACUUAGAAAGAAAUCUAAAAUAUCUCACUUACUUAGAUGUCUAUGCAAUUAGUAAAGCUUAAAAUUAUAUUUAGUUACACAGAAAUUACAUGGUUUUCAUUUAAAAAAAAAAAAAAAAAGGCCUGGCUUGUCACCCUACAAAGCAUUUUGUAGGGUGAAAUAAUUCCCAGAGUUCACAGAUCUUAUAAGACUCCAGAUUAUUUAUUUUAGACUUUGGCUCAAAUUAUAACCAUAAUGAUUCAUAGUAGCCAUGGAACUGCCCAUAAAAUGCAUGUGUACCUGUGUAUAUACUGUGUAAUUCAAAGUAGUUAUGUAUUAGAAGGAGCACACCAGUUACUUUUUCAACACAUUUUAGAAAUGUAUUAUAGAAUGUCUGCACAAUAUUGAUACAGUAAACCGAUCUUAGAGUGAGGUCAAGGAAAUAUCCUGAGCCAUGUUCUUUUAACAAACAGUUUAAAUUCUAAAAUAACUUUCCUUUAAAGCUAUGGAUUUUUUGGGGUUUUUUUGCUAAUACAUUUUAAAAUACUAUAUUUUAAACUAGUUUUAGGCUCAGAUAAAAGUUUUUGAAAGUAUAGAAUAUUCUCAUAUACGUUCACCCCUCUUCCAUUUAUCUUAACACCUUAUAUAAUCAUAGUAAAUUUAUCAAAACCAGGAAAUUAAUGUGAGUCAAAACUACUAACUAAGCUGCAGAGAUUAUCUGAAUUUCACUCAUUUUCUCAGCAUUCUUUUAAGGAAAAAAUGAUCCCACAUUGUAUUUCAUUUCUGUUCAAGAAUUCAAUGUAGAAUUCCAUAUUGUAUUAUUUUAGUUUUUUCUCCAUAGGCCCCUCUAAUCUGAGAGUUUUACAGUCGUUCCUAGUCUUUUAUUCUCCUGUUUUUCUUUUAAUAGGCAUUUCAUUUAUUUUAUGAGGCAAAAAGACGGAUGCCAAUGCCAUUGCUUAUCUAUUGUGACAAUGUUUUCAUUAUUAUGCCAACCAUUAAAAGCUAAAAGCAAAAUUAUCAAUAAUUAUGUGAAAAUAUGCAAAACCACAAAAAUAUUUAGUAUUAUAUAGGGAUGAAAUAAUUUGAGCACAUAUAAUGUAUGGCCAUCAUAUUAUGUAUCUUUCCAUUAUCUCAUUUUCAUAAUAUCUGUUAGAAAUAAGUACCUUUAAAUCCUAUUUUAUAUGUAAUGAAAUUGAAACUCAGAAAAGUCACUUGCCUAAAAUCAUUUAGCUGAUUAGUAGCAGAUCAGAAUUUUAAAACAAGAAUUUUUUUAAAAAAAUAUAAUUCAUGUGCUCUAUACAAUAUCUAAAGCAUGAGUUUUGCUGAAAGGCAUGUAUAGUUAGAUUUUUGUAGAAUGUAAGACUUGAAUCCUAAAAGAUCAAGACCUUUUCCUGUUGUCUUGCACAGCUUUCAAUUGCCCAUUCACAAUAAAAUGAGACACAACUCAUAGAACUGUUAGUUGCCAAGCCGUGACAUAGCCAACAGAAGCUUAACUUUGUGCUUAACAUUUCCAUGUUAAUUAGGCAAUGUCAAAUAUCACAGACAUGUAGAUAAGUCAUAGUAAUAUCUUUCACAUACAUUUCAAUGAAUUAAAUACUCUCUAUCUGAAUACUGAUCUUACAUUCCAUCCUUCAUAUUGCCUCCCAGUUUUUAGAGGAGUCAUGUUCAGAGAGGCCUAUUCAUUUAUAUCUUCUCCAAAUUUUCUUGUUACUAAGUCACCAUGCAACCUGAGAUGCCCAUCAUGAAGUGGAUGCUCUUUGACCCAUCAAGCCAUAAAUUUAGGUGUGUAUAGCAACACUCCAUCAUUAAAUGGAAGCAGUAUAUAUGUAAUUCCUGAAGGCAUAAGUAAGUUACAUUAAAAAAUGGCCCAAAUGAUUGUGAUCCCCACUUCGGCUACACUGCCUUCUUUCGGCCAGUCUGCAUGUAUGCUUCCACUGGGAAGCAUUCCAUUGAACUGGAAAUUCAGACUCUUGCCUGGCCAUUUUCUACUCUUCAUGCUUCUGAAUCAACAGAAAAAGAAGGGAGUUAUGGUGCUGUCUAAGAUGCCUGAUCUUGAUUUCAUGGUUCUUGUGGAGAACUCUGCUAUUCCAUAGUGUAGGUAAAGAAGAGCAGGUCUUGGAUAUAGGGGAUUUUUUAGGGCUUAUCUUAGUAUUACCAUUCUCACUGACUAAGGUCAAUGGCAAAUUUCAGCAACUAAAUUCAGGUAGGUCUACUAAUGGCUGAGACCUUUUAGAAAUAAAAAUUUGGGUCUUCUCACCAGGUAAAAAACCACAAUCAGUUGAGGUACUUGAUACAGGAAAGGGAAUGUAGAAUGUGUACUGGAAGAAGGUAGUUGUAAAUACCAGCUAUAACAAUGUGACCACUUAUAGAAUAAAGGAUUGUAGUAGUUACGUGUAUUCCUUUUUCUUUUGCAUACACACACACACACACACACACACACAUACAUACAUAGAAAUAUCUUUGAUUUCCUUCCUCCCUUAUUCCCUUAUCAUGUAACAUAAAAUGUAUUAGCUUAUUAUCAUAACAUUUAAAUGAUGCUAUUUUACAUCAUAGUACCUAAGGAAUGUAAAGGAGAAGAAGAACAGUAAACAUUACUCAAAGGCUGUAUCUUCUCUUCUGGGAAAGGAGUUAGUACAUUUUAAGUUGUACACAGGAUAGUUUUAUCAUGUUAGGCAGAAUUAUGACCUUGCUAUUGUCUUUAUUUGUAGAUUAAGUAAGGCUUAAGGAGUAUGCAUGAGUGCCAAGGUGACAAAGUCUGAACUUGUGAUGCUUAAUUUUAUGUGUCAACUUUACUUGGAUACUGAGUUCCCACAUAUUUGGUUACACAUUAUUUCUCCAUUUGUCUGUGAUAGUAUUUCUGGAUGAUACUAGCACUUCUAUCAGGGGACUGACUAAAACAUAUUGUCCUCCCGGAUGUAAGUGGGUAUCAUGCAAUCCACUGGAGGCCUAAAUAGAACAAAAGGUGGGAUAAGGGAAAACUCAGAUUCUCUUCCUGUUUUUUUUAGGCUGGGUCAUUGGCCUUAUCCCGCACCGAAGUUGAAACUUACACCAUCUGUUCACAUCAUCAGUUCUUCUGGUUCUCAUGCUUUUGAACUUCAACUGGCACAAUUCCACUGGCUCUCCUUAGUCUCCAGGUUGCAGAUGGCAGAUUAUAAAUCUCCUUAGCCUCCACCUUUAUGUGAGCCAAUUGAUAUAUAUAUUAGCC
rnacentral:lncRNA from 1 species